rnacentral:rRNA from 1 species
GACGAACGCUGGCGGCGUGCUUAACACAUGCAAGUCGAACGGAAAGGCCCUGCUUUUGUGGGGUGCUCGAGUGGCGAACGGGUGAGUAACACGUGAGUAACCUGCCCUUGACUUUGGGAUAACUUCAGGAAACUGGGGCUAAUACCGGAUAGGAGCUCCUGCUGCAUGGUGGGGGUUGGAAAGUUUCGGCGGUUGGGGAUGGACUCGCGGCUUAUCAGCUUGUUGGUGGGGUAGUGGCUUACCAAGGCUUUGACGGGUAGCCGGCCUGAGAGGGCGACCGGCCACAUUGGGACUGAGAUACGGCCCAGACUCCUACGGGAGGCAGCAGUGGGGAAUAUUGCACAAUGGGCGGAAGCCUGAUGCAGCAACGCCGCGUGCGGGAUGACGGCCUUCGGGUUGUAAACCGCUUUCGCCUGUGACGAAGCGUGAGUGACGGUAAUGGGUAAAGAAGCACCGGCUAACUACGUGCCAGCAGCCGCGGUGAUACGUAGGGUGCGAGCGUUGUCCGGAUUUAUUGGGCGUAAAGGGCUCGUAGGUGGUUGAUCGCGUCGGAAGUGUAAUCUUGGGGCUUAACCCUGAGCGUGCUUUCGAUACGGGUUGACUUGAGGAAGGUAGGGGAGAAUGGAAUUCCUGGUGGAGCGGUGGAAUGCGCAGAUAUCAGGAGGAACACCAGUGGCGAAGGCGGUUCUCUGGGCCCUUCCUGACGCUGAGGAGCGAAAGCGUGGGGAGCGAACAGGCUUAGAUACCCUGGUAGUCCACGCUGUAAACGGUGGGUACUAGGUGUGGGGUCCAUUCCACGGGUUCCGUGCCGUAGCUAACGCUUUAAGUACCCCGCCUGGGGAGUACGGCCGCAAGGCUAAAACUCAAAGGAAUUGACGGGGCCCCGCACAAGCGGCGGAGCAUGCGGAUUAAUUCGAUGCAACGCGUAGAACCUUACCUGGGUUUGACAUGGAUCGGGAGCGCUCAGAGAUGGGUGUGCCUCUUUUGGGGUCGGUUCACAGGUGGUGCAUGGCUGUCGUCAGCUCGUGUCGUGAGAUGUUGGGUUAAGUCCCGCAACGAGCGCAACCCUUGUUCACUGUUGCCAGCACGUUAUGGUGGGGACUCAGUGGAGACCGCCGGGGUCAACUCGGAGGAAGGUGGGGAUGACGUCAAGUCAUCAUGCCCCUUAUGUCCAGGGCUUCACGCAUGCUACAAUGGCUGGUACAGAGAGUGGCGAGCCUGUGAGGGUGAGCGAAUCUCGGAAAGCCGGUCUCAGUUCGGAUUGGGGUCUGCAACUCGACCUCAUGAAGUCGGAGUCGCUAGUAAUCGCAGAUCAGCAACGCUGCGGUGAAUACGUUCCCGGGGCU